GGGUUCGCGUUGUUGUGGUGCUUCUCGGAGAAUGAUGAUGAUGAACAUCGGAAGGAGCUGAGUUUACACAGCCGCCGGCGAUUACUACUCCGUAAGGCGAAGGUCGGUGGUAGAGACGAGUGAAACGGAGGCUUGGAUUUGAAGGAAGGAGAUGGAGAUAACGAAGUCGAAGAAGGUGAAGAGACUGUGUGUGGAAGCGCCAUUGCAGAGGCGAAAUAAUCGAUGAACAGAAGAAGAAGAAGAUACAAAAC
rnacentral:lncRNA from 1 species